rnacentral:lncRNA from 1 species
CCUAACCAAGACUUUCUCUGAGACUCUUAGUUAUUAUGAUGCUACUUCCACCAGCACCAGGGUUCUUGUUGCUAUCUGGCUGUUGAGUGAUUCAGUCCCACUGAGCAAUGUCAACCUGAUUGUCUUUCUUUGUUUUUAAGAAACAGGGUCUUGCUCUGCUGCCCAGGCUGGAGCACAGUAGUGUGAUCAUAGCUCACUACAGCCUUCAACUCCUGGGCCUUAGCAAUCCUCCUGCCUCAGCCUCCCAAGGAGCUAUGGCUGCAGGUAUCCGCCACCACUCAUUGACAGCCACUUCCAGUACUCACUGUCUUGGACACAGACUUGAGUAAAAGUACAGAAACAGGGCCGGUAGGACCAGAGGCUCCCCCUCCUGGGUCAGAUUAUGCAGUAAGGAGCUUCACAGAAUACGACUGGAAAUCCACAUACCCACUUUUCUGUUUAAUUCAGGAAGCAGUUGCUAAACACAACUAACAGAGCAAAGGGCAAGAGGCCUGGAUGAAGAAAUACCCUCAGAAACUCCCACUCUUCUGGUUCCUGCUGAAGACUCCAGUAAUAAAAGUUAUUCAUACCUACCUCCACCAUCUUGGCUGGGAAGUCAAGGAUACAGGAAGAAGAUAGCAGCCCGCAACCCGGAAGAGGGCCCUCACCAGAACCUACCAUGCUGGCACCCAGACCUCAGACUUCCAGCCUCCAGAAAUACACCAUCUGGCUCUGUCACCCAGGCUGGAGUGCAGUGGCCUGGUCACAGUUCACUGCAGCUUCGACUUCCCUGGCUCAAGUGAUCCUCCCUCCUCACCCUACAGGCAUGCACCACCGUGCCCAGGAGCUCCCUCUGCUGCAGGAACUCAACGAUAGGGAGGAAGAGUCCAGAAAAGUAGGGCUGUCAGCACCUCUGUGAGCAGCCGACGAUCCACAGCGGAUGGAGUUUGGUGGUAAAGGUACUCACUUCCUGUCUCUCUGGUGAUGAUUUUGAGCAUGUUCUACAAAGUCUUUCAGAUGGUCCCAGUAGGUUGGAGCCCAGCUGCCCUCAGUGGUAACCUGCCCAUUAACGUAUCCUGUGUUGGUUUCCUUUCCUCCCCUACCUCACCUCCCCACUCCCCUUUCUAUGAUUCCUAGAGUCACCUCCCAAAUAAACUUUCAC